rnacentral:rRNA from 1 species
GAAAGAUUUAUUGCUAAGAGGUCGGCCCGCGGUAGAUUAGGCAGUUGGUGGGGUAAAGGCCUACCAAACCUACGAUCUAUAGCUGGUCUGAGAGGACGAUCAGCCACAUUGGAAGUGAGACACGGUCCAGACUCCUACGGGAGGCAGCAGUGAGGAAUAUUGGGCAAUGGAGGCAACUCUGACCCAGCCAUGCCGCGUGAGUGACGAAGGUUUUCGAAUUGUAAAGCUCUUUCGGGUGUGAAGAUGAUGACGGUAACACCAGAAGAAGCCCCGGCAAACUUCGUGCCAGCAGCCGCGGUAAUACGAAGGGGGCGAGCGUUGUUCGGAAUUACUGGGCGUAAAGGGUGUGUAGGCGGUUAAGUAAGAUAGUGGUGAAAUGCCGGGGCUCAACCUCGGAAUUGCCAUUAUGACUAUUUAGCUAGAAUGAUGCAGAGGAUAGCGGAAUACCCAGUGUAGAGGUGAAAUUCGUAGAUACUGGGUAGAACACCAGAGGCGAAGGCGGCUAUCUGGGCAUUGAUUGACGCUGAGGCACGAAAGCAUGGGGAUCAAACAGGAUUAGAUACCCUGGUAGUCCAUGCUGUAAAAGAUGAAUGCUAGUUGUUGGAGGAAUUCAGUGAC